ACGAUGUUCCGCUGCAAGUGGUCUCUAUCUAUGAGUGCAAGAGCGUCUG
rfam:Bacillus circulans strain RIT379 contig1, whole genome shotgun sequence.